rnacentral:rRNA from 1 species
CAGCGCCACGGUAAUACGUAGGUCCCGAGCGUUGUCCGGAUUUAUUGGGCGUAAAGGGAGCGCAGGCGGUUUAGUAAGUCUGAAGUUAAAGGCAUUGGCUCAACCAAUGUAUGCUUUGGAAACUGUUAGACUUGAGUGCAGAAGGGGAGAGUGGAAUUCCAUGUGUAGCGGUGAAAUGCGUAGAUAUAUGGAGGAACACCGGUGGCGAAAGCGGCUCUCUGGUCUGUAACUGACGCUGAGGCUCGAAAGCGUGGGGCGCAAACAGGAUUAGAUACCCCGCGUAGUCCCUGUCUCUUAUACC